UACAGAGGGGGCUAGCGUUAUUCGGAAUUAUUGGGCGUAAAGGGCGCGUAGGCGGCCAUGCGUGUCUUCCGUGAAAUCCCUCGGCUUAACUGAGGACGUGCGGAAGAAACUGCAAGGCUCGAGUCCGGGAGAGGGGGGUGGAAUUCCCAGUGUAGCGGUGAAAUGCGUAGAUAUUGGGAGGAACACCGGUGGCGAAGGCGGUUCUCUGGGACGGUACUGACGCUGGAGACGCGAAAGCCGUGGGGAGCGAACAGG
rnacentral:rRNA from 1 species